GCUAGUAAUCGCGGAUCAGAAUGCCGCGGUGAAUACGUUCCCGGGCCUUGUACACACCGCCCGUCACACCAUGAGAGUUGGGGAUACCCGAAGCCUGUGAGCUAACUUAACGGAGGCAGCAGUCGAAGGUAGAAUCAAUGAUUGGGGUGAAGUCGUAACAAGGUACC
rnacentral:rRNA from 1 species